GGAGAGGUGUCCGAGCGGCUGAAGGAGCACGCCUGGAAAGUGUGUAUACGUUAAUAGCGUAUCGAGGGUUCGAAUCCCUCCCUCUCCG
rnacentral:tRNA from 1 species